rnacentral:rRNA from 1 species
GGGCUGCAGUGAGGAAUUUUGCGCAAUGGGGGCAACCCUGACGCAGCAACGCCGCGUGAGUGAAGAAGGCUUUCGAGUCGUAAAGCUCUGUCUAGCGGGAAGAACCUCCUUGGGACGAAUACUUCCAAGGACUGACGGUACCGCUGAAGGAAGCACCGGCUAACUCCGUGCCAGCAGCCGCGGUAAUACGGAGGGUGCAAGCGUUAUUCGGAAUCAUUGGGCGUAAAGCGCGUGUAGGCGGCUUGAUAAGUCAGAUGUGAAAUCUCCGGGCUUAACCCGGAAAGUGCAUUUGAAACUGUCAAGCUUGAGUCCGGGAGAGGAAAGUGGAAUUCCCAGUGUAGAGGUGAAAUUCGUAGAUAUUGGGAGGAACAUCGGUGGCGAAGGCGACUUUCUGGACCGAGACUGACGCUGAGACGCGAAAGCGUGGGGAGCAAACAGGAUUAGAUACCCCAGUAGUC